rnacentral:rRNA from 1 species
GACGAACGCUGGCGGCGUGCUUAACACAUGCAAGUCGAACGGAAAGGCCCUGCUUUUGUGGGUUGCUCGAGUGGCGAACGGGUGAGUAACACGUGAGUAACCUGCCCUGGACUUUGGGAUAACGUCAGGAAACUGGGGCUAAUACCGGAUAGGAGGUCCUGCUGCAUGGUGGGGGGUGGAAAGUCUCGGCGGUUGGGGAUGGGCUCGCGGCUUAUCAGCUUGUUGGUGGGGUGGUGGCUUACCAAGGCUUUGACGGGUAGCCGGCCUGAGAGGGUGACCGGCCACAUUGGGACUGAGAUACGGCCCAGACUCCUACGGGAGGCAGCAGUGGGGAAUAUUGCACAAUGGGCGGAAGCCUGAUGCAGCAACGCCGCGUGCGGGAUGACGGACUUCGGGUUGUAAACCGCUUUCGCCUGUGACGAAGCGUGAGUGACGGUAAUGGGUAAAGAAGCACCGGCUAACUACGUG